UACGAAGGGGGCUAGCGUUGUUCGGAAUUACUGGGCGUAAAGCGUGCGUAGACGGUAGCGUAAGUCGGGUGUGAAAGCCCCGGGCUCAACCUGGGAAUUGCAUUCGAGACUGCUCUGCUAGGGUGCGGAAGAGGGGAGCGGAAUUUCCGGUGUAGCGGUGAAAUGCGUAGAUAUCGGAAGGAACACCAGUGGCGAAAGCGGCUCCCUGGUCCAGCACCGACGUUCAGGCACGAAAGCGUGGGGAGCAAACAGG
rnacentral:rRNA from 1 species